rnacentral:misc_RNA from 2 species
CAAACCUCAAGCUUCUGCUUGGUAUUGAGCGGUUCGCCUUCGGAAACGGAGGCGCCCUCGAAACUCGUGGGCGGUGAUGUCCAGCGUCGUAGCGUAGUCAUAAAACAAUUCCGCUUCCGAUCGCUUUGGACGACUCACCCGCCGGGAGAACCGACGCCUUCUUGGUGUCAUUUUUCUUAAG